rnacentral:rRNA from 1 species
UACGUAGGGUGCAAGCGUUGUCCGGAAUUAUUGGGCGUAAAGAGCUCGUAGGCGGUUUGUCGCGUCUGCUGUGAAAACCCGAGGCUCAACCUCGGGCCUGCAGUGGGUACGGGCAGACUAGAGUGCGGUAGGGGAGAUUGGAAUUCCUGGUGUAGCGGUGGAAUGCGCAGAUAUCAGGAGGAACACCGGUGGCGAAGGCGGUUCUCUGGGCAUUACCUGACGCUGAGGAGCGAAAGUGUGGGGAGCAAACAGG